rnacentral:rRNA from 1 species
AUGGAGGGAGGGAUGGGGGGCGGAGGCGGGCAGCAGGAGCUGUCGGCGGACAACGUGCGCGGGAUAGUGCUCGCGCUCCUCUCCAGCGGCUUCAUCGGCUCCAGCUUCAUCAUCAAGAAGAAGGGCCUCCACCGCGCCGCCGUCUCCUCCGGCAUCAGCGCCGGUCCCUCCCUCCCUCCCUUAACCAGAGCCGUCUUGUUCUUUCUUCAGAGUUUGUUUAGUCCUCUGAAAAUGUCCUCUGUUUUAACCCCCUUUUUUGCGUCGUGUGCAGGGGUGGGUGGGCACUCCUACCUCCUGGAGCCCCUAUGGUGGGUGGGCAUGAUCACCAUGAUCGUGGGAGAGAUCGCCAAUUUCGUGGCCUACGCCUUCGCCCCGGCGGUGCUGGUUACUCCUCUGGGAGCACUGAGCAUAAUCGUCAGUGCAGUGCUGGCCCAUUUCAUCCUGAACGAGAGAUUGCACGCGCUGGGGGUGCUCGGCUGCGUGAUGUGCAUCGCGGGGUCGAUGGUGAUCGUCAUCCACGCGCCGCUGGAGCAGGAGAUCACAUCGGUCAAGGAGAUAUGGCACAUGGCAACACAACCAUCUUUCUUGCUAUAUGUUGCUUCGGUUAUAGUCCUGGUCUCUGUGCUGGUGUUCCAUUUCUCCCCUCUCUGGGGGCAGUCGAACGUCUUGAUCUACACCGCCAUUUGCUCUUUGAUGGGUUCUCUUUCGGUAAUGAGUGUUAAAGCACUUGGUACAUCCUUGAAGUUGACUUUUGAGGGGACGAAUCAGUUAGCAUAUCCCGAGACGUGGUUCUUUAUGCUUGUCGUGGCUAUUUGUGUGCUGACACAGAUGAAUUACCUGAACAAGGCACUUGAUACAUUUAACACGGCAGUUGUAUCACCAAUUUAUUAUGUGAUGUUUACAUCAUUGACAAUACUCGCAAGCAUCAUAAUGUUUAAGGAUUGGUCUGGUCAGAGCCUUGGAAGCAUUACUUCUGAAAUAUGUGGCCUGAUUGUUGUGUUGUCCGGUACCAUCUUGUUGCAUGUCACCAAGGAUUACGAAAGGAUCCCGCAAUCGAGAAGCCUUUAUGCACCGUUGUCUCCCACGUCGGCAACAAGAUUGAACGGAGAACUACUGAGGCACGUCGAGGAGGAUGCGAGGAGAACCGACGACGAAGAGAAAGUCUUGAGACGACAGGAGAUGUACUAG